rnacentral:lncRNA from 1 species
CCCCGACCGCCCCCUUCGUCGCCGCUCGGCCGCUCGUUCGUCGUCGCCGUUCGUCCGCCGCCGUCGCGCCGGACCGCCGUUGGCCGACCCCUCUCCUUUCCCCUUCCUCUCUUCCGUCGACUCUCUCUCCCGCUCCUUUCCGUUCGAUGCCCAUAAAUUUCAGAGGAGGAGCCGCAUGUCGCCCGGAGCCGCCGCCCGCCGUCCUCGCCCCGCGUCGUCUCGUCGCCGAGCCGCUGUUCUCGCGCGCUGCUGCUGGCCGCGCGUCUUGGCGGUCUUCUCGCCCAGCUCGUCGUCCCGAGCUGCUGUUCAGCUCACGCAGGAGCUGUCGGAGCUCCCUUCGGCCACCGUGAGACUCGCUUGGCCGCCGUGUGUCACCGCCCUAGCUGCCGCCUCCUUCCUCCGCUGUUCCUCCGCCCGAUCCGCUGCCGAGCAACCUACGUCCGACCCCGACCAGCAGCUGGAAAAAUGGGUAUUCCAACCCGGUUUUGGCCCGUUUUGGUUGCCUUCCCGAGCCCGGAUGCUCGGCCUGCUUUGAGGAAAGUCGAUCCUCGCGUCGUCUCCGUCGUUUUGGUCCGCUCGGCUCGCUAAUCCGGUGAGUUUAACUCACUAAAUCUCGCUUAGAGGGUUAAUGAUUCUUUAGAUGUGUUUAGUUUAUGUUAAGUGUUAUUAGGUGGUUAGUUUAAUUUAUUUAAGUGUAGAUUAUAUUAAUGUGCUUGAUUAACUUAAAGUGUGAUUAAAUUAAGGUUAAGUGAAUGUUUAAAUUAAGGUUAAGUGAUUAACAUUGAUGUGACAUAAAGGAAUUUACUUUUGAUUUAUUUAAAUAUUCCGAAAUCAUUAAAUAAUUUAAUAAUAUAUUAUUAUUCGAAAUUAUUAAAAUAUUAUUAUUUAAUUAUUUUCGGAAUAAAUUUAAUUAUUUAUUAAAUUCCGAAAAUUUUGUCGGGACCCUAAAUUCUCAGAAUUUUGUGCCGGUUGCUGCUGUAUAGUCGGAUUUUGAAAUUAAUAAUUGGAUAUUAUGAAUUGAGUGUGGAUCGUGAAAAAUAUGAAUAUUAUUAUUUAAUUAAUUUUCGGAAUAAAUGUAAUUAUUUAAUAAAUUCCGAAAAUUAUUUUGGGACUUUAUUUUCUCAGAAUUUCGUGCUGAUCGCUGCUGUGCAUUUAGAAUUUGAAUUUGAUGAAUGAAUGUAGCCAAUUGAGUGUUGAUUGUGAUAAAUAGAGAUUUUUAAUCAUAAAAACCCAAGUGUCGGGUUUUAAUGCAAAAAUUGGAUUUUAAUGAUUAUAUUAAAUAGUGGGGUUUGAAAAAGUGAGAUAUUAGCUUUCUGGAUCGAAAUCAAUGUGCCCCCACACACGUGGUUAAUUUCUGGACUAUUUUUAAUGCGAAGAAAAGCGGCCGGGAUUACUAUUUUAAGUGGAAGCAUUGAGUGAAAUGCAAAGUGUCCUGGGCCGAAUAUGAAUUGUUGUGUGAUAACUAAGAGGAAUCGUCCUGGGCUGUUGAUCCAGACUUGCCCCUAUAUGGGAUGCCCACGCGGUGGAUGCGGGUCGCAGUUGAUUCUGGGCCCAUGCUCCUUCGGGAACGCCGUCAAUGUACUGACGAAGCCGCGCUCCAAGGUGGGGAGGCGAUGCCUGGCUAUUUGUCAGUAGAUAGCCGAACAGCGAGUAGGCUAUGCCUUUGUAUGGCAGUGAAUAACAAUUGGAAUGCAUGUUGAGGGAAAUUGAUGUGUUGGAUUAUGGGACGGAAUUGUGUGGCAUGGAAUGUGACGUGUCAUAAUGAUUUAGUCUUAUAAUCAGGACCCCCGCGGUUGUUGGUUAUAUGAAAGUAAUGCGUUCCGGUUGUUUAAGUUCUUAUUACUGCAUAUGAUUGAGUGAUAUGAACUGUGCUAACCUGCAGGAAAGAAUUGAGGCGAGGUAAGUUCUCUGUGUGAUGUGGCUAGGCCACCCGGGGCGUAUUUUCUUUCUAAUAGGGGUUUAGGGGGUUGAACUUGCUGAGACGUCGUCUCAUCCCGGUUGUGGGAUUAAAAUUUCAGGUCCCUAGAUGGCGGUCGUGGAGGACCCGAAGCCCUAAGUCUGGAAAGGUGGAGAUUGAAGUAUCGGUGAACGUGUCCUACUAGUUGAUUUUAGGAUGGUUCCCCGUUUGUCGAGCUGGUCUAUUUUGUAAACAGUCUAGAGUUGUAUUUAAACCUAUGUGUUUGGAAAUGAG